CCUUCUCUCUUGCCCGUGGCGUGCCUGACUGUGACAAUGCAACUAGAGGAGGCACAGCACCCUCUUGAAGAACUAUACUGCAAAAUCUGCUGCUGUUUGUACAUAGCUGAAGC
rnacentral:sRNA from 1 species